UGGAAACUGGAUGGCUUGAGUGUAGGAGAGGUUAGUGGAAUUCCCGGUGUAGCGGUGAAAUGCGUAGAGAUCGGGAGGAACACCAGUGGGCGAAGGCGACUAACUGGACUAUGACUGACGCUGAGGCGCGAAAGUGUGGGGAGCAAACAGGAUUAGAUACCUGGUAGUCCACACUGUAAACGAUGAAUGCUAGGUGUAGGGGGUAUCGACCCUUCUGUGCCGGAGUAAACACAAUAAGCAUUCCGCCUGGGGAGUACGGCCGCAAGGUUGAAACUCAAAGAAAUUGACGGGGGCCCGCACAAGCAGCGGAGCAUGUGGUUUAAUUCGAAGCAACGCGAAGAACCUUACCAGGUCUUGACAUCCAGGUAAACUUGCAGAGAUGCAAGGUGUGCUUGCACAAUCUGAGACAGGUGGUGCAUGGUUGUCGUCAGCUCGUGUCGUGAGAUGUUGGGUUAAGUCCCGCAACGAGCGCAAC
rnacentral:rRNA from 1 species